UCACAGUGGAUGGAUUUACGGUGAAAUUCCAAGUGACGGGCUUAUUUCUCGAUCAGUGGAGCUUCAAUUUUGGAUAACCCAACCGGGAUUCGGCUAGGCGAUGACUCGCGUACCGGAUUUCGACGAGUGGCGUAGGCCGCGAUUCUGUCGCCCUCGGCUAAGAAGCAGUAGGAUGGCCGUAGGAUGGUCGGCGAGGACGCGCCGGGGACGUCUCUCCAGGACGACGGCGAGAUGUAACCAGUGAUGCUGUCGUGCGAUUAACGGACUCCAGCCCGCCAUUGAACCGGCGCCUUCCCCACCGCCGCGGUCACCGUUCGGAUUGCAACUAUGGACGGGGCCGGGGCCUCGCCGUGGCCGAGAUGAGGGCUGCCCGUCCGCCCCCCGGGCCCCCGC